ensembl:lncRNA
AGCUUCUCAUCUCUUUCUUGAUUUGGUGAGUAUGAAUGCAAAGCUUGCCCUUCCGAUGUGUCCCCAAAUCCUUUCAUCUGGGGGGGGCGGUUACCGGCCACACCACUGGCCUCGGUGACAAGUCACCUUCCGCGUUUCUAGCUCUCCUUCUUGUGACUGACCAUCCAAGGCUGUGGCACCACAUGUGUGUCCAGCUGCGCCGACAUCUCUCUGGGAGUCUGGGACCCAUUUCUGCUCACUUACCUGCCUCCUCCAUUCCUCUGUGAGUGCCUGCUGCCAGAAACCAAAUUUUACUCAUCUCUGUAUCACCGGCCUCUAGCACAGUGCCUACCUCACACUAGAGUCUCAAUAAAGGUUUUUAGAAUAUUGAAUAUAUUCACUGGAUGGCCAAAACAUUCGUUCGGGUUUUUCCACCACACGUUACGGGAAAACCUCGAACGUUAUGUUUUGGCCAACCCAAUGCCAUGACUUGCAAACCAAGAGACCCAGGGCUGGUGAGACAGUUCAUAAGCCCUGAAAGAGAGCAUAGAGUUGGGUGUGAAGUACAGCUCAGUGAGCUUUCAGAACAGGGAGUGAAUGAGGGCUCAAGAGUUGUAGAAAGUUUCAGAGAGAGUGGAAGACCUAAACUUGGCCAUCGGGGAAAAAAAGAGAGAGAGAGAAACCCUUACGGCAGCAGCGAAGGUGCUUGUAUUUUCCGCCGUGCCCUCCGAGCUUUCUGAGUGGGGCAGCCUUUGUCUGUCUUUCUCAUCAUACCCCAGCCUCUCUCAUUAGGUCGGCUGCAUGUUCCGCGUCCACCUUUCCCAACCUGGCCUGGAAAUCCUCUUCAGGUGCUUAUCUGCACAGCCUCAUCUUAUUUUUUUAGCCCAGCGUGAGAUAGCAAAGGCCGAUGCACAAUGCCAUUUUUGUCUCUUCUCCCAAAGGUCUCUGGGGCCACUCUUCCAGCCUGGUCUGGUUACUGAGGCUGCCCCUCUGGAAAAACAAGGCUGUGGGGUAAUUAGGUCAUAGAGGGACUGAAACCCGAGGGUCCCGCUGGAGGCAAGGCUAAAAUUCAUAAACAGAGAUGGGCACAGCUCAAAUUCAAGACAAGCUAAUUUUAGAUCCAUGGGCUCGCUCCAGCAAGAUGGUGACAAUUACAUCCUUUCUCAAAAUGCUUUGCCUGGGCUGGCCUUUGAAGUGUUUAUUUUCCAUCACUGAAUCAUUCAAUAGCAAUAUAAUUGUUAUUUUCAUUUCCCUGGUUCGAGCGAUGGGUCUAAGAGCCAGUCACCAUUCCCAGUUCAUUAACCGACUGGCCUUCGAAUUAACAGCCCCUCCAUUGGGGGUUGCCUUGGAGACAAAGCUUCCUGUGGGUAAUCCAAGAUUAUCCAGCUCUUUAUCCUGCAUGUGACCCUUAAUUACUUGCUAAAUUAGAAUGGUUUUCUGAAAAUCACAAGCGGGGGUUAAUACGUUCUUCCAGAGCUGGUCAAGCUAAGAUGACACUGAAUUCACAGGGAAUUCAAGUGACAUGAUCCCUGAAGGCGUCUCUUUGAGGAAGAAGAUGAACUCUCCCCCGGGGAGGCGCUGCCCCCCAUAAAGCCCUGUCACUCACUGCUGCCCUGCCUGCUUUUAGAGCUGGGGUUUAAUCUCCUUGGGACAAUUCACUAUGUCAAUAUUGAGCAGAUUCAUUCUGGUCCUGAAGCCUGAACCCAUUUGUCUUUCAUAACCAACUGCUUUCAAUUUAAGUUCAUAUAUUUUUUUUAAUCAUAAUUGCAGGUUUUUGCUCUAUGCAUUUACACAAGGUCAAGGCUUCCUGG